rnacentral:rRNA from 1 species
CCUACGGGAGGCAGCAGUGAGGAAUAUUGGUCAAUGGCCGAGAGGCUGAACCAGCCAAGUCGCGUGAGGGAAGAAUGUCCUCUGGAUUGUAAACCUCUUUUGUCAGGGAGCAAAGUCACCGGCGUGUGGGUGUUGGAGUGUACCUGAAGAACAAGCAUAGGCUAACUCCGCGCCGGCAGCCGCGGUAAUACGGAGGAUCCGAGCGUUACCCGGAUUGAUUGGGUUUAAAGGGAGCGUCGGUGGAUUGUUAAGUCAGUUGUGAAAGUCUGCGGCUCAACCGUAAAAUUGCAGUUGAAACUGGCAGUCUUGAGUACAGUAGAGGUGGGUGGAAUUCGUGGUGUAGCGGUGAAAUGCGUAGAGAUGUCGAAGAACUCCGAUUGCGAAGGCAGCUCACUGGACUGCAACUGACACUGAGGCUCGAAAGUGUGGGUAUCAAACAGGAUUAGAUACCCGAGUAGUC